GCGGGGGCCUAGUGGUAAGGUAUUGGCUUCCGGCGCGAAGGGCUCCAUGUUCGAAACCUGAUUUCACUGUA